CAGAGCUAGCAUUAUUGUCCCCGCCUCAAAGACCCUACAACAACACGCACAGCGUCAUCUCUUCGGGCAGCAAAGAGAACCUGCCGGGGGACGUGAUCACCCCGUGCAGCCGCUGCUCCAGGAAGCUGCUCCUGGCAGGCGCCGCGUCCUUCGCGUUCUGCCUCCUGUCCGUCGCCGCGUGCCUCCUACUGCGCUUCCUCCUUCGGCGCUGGUGCCGUCGCCGCCGCGGUCCAGGUCUCGUGCAGCAGGAGGAGGAGGAGGCGCAGCUAAAGCUCGGCGGCGGCGGCGGCCUUGACGCCGAAGCCAUUGCUCUGCUGCCUUCUUCCUUCCCGUACCACCGGCGAGGCAACGAC
rnacentral:misc_RNA from 1 species